UACAGAGGUCCCGAGCGUUGUUCGGAUUCACUGGGCGUAAAGGGUGCGUAGGUGGCCAUGAAAGUUCGAUGUGAAAUCUCCGGGCUUAACCCGGAAAAGGCAUUGAAAACUCUGUGGCUGGAGGUUUGGAGGGGGGACUGGAAUUCUCGGUGUAGCAGUGAAAUGCGUAGAUAUCGAGAGGAACACCAGUGGCGAAGGCGGGUCCCUGGACAACACCCGACACUGAGGCACGAAAGCUAGGGGAGCAAACAGG
rnacentral:rRNA from 1 species